GGCUGCAGAAUUUAUAACUGUACAAAGGUAGCAUAAUAAUUUGUUUUUUAAUUAAAAACUAGAAUGAAUGAUUAAAUGAAAUAUAAACUGUUUCAAUUAAAAUAAUAUUAAAAUUUUUAUUUAAGUUAAAAAACUUAAAUAUAUUUAAAAGACGACAAGACCCUAUAGAAUUUUAUUUAUAUAUUAAAUAAAAAUAUUUAUUUAUUUAUUAAAUUUAUUAUAAUAAAUUUAAUUGGGGUAAUUUUAAAAUUAAAAAAAUUUUUUUUAUAUAAAACAUUAAUUAAUGAAUAAUAUAUCUUAAAUUUUAAAUUAUUAAAAUUAAUUACCUUAGGGAUAACAGCAUAAUUUUUUUUAAAAGACCUUAUU
rnacentral:rRNA from 1 species